GCCAAUACAAAUUUUGACACGAUAUAAUUUGUCUUAUACGUGUUAACAAAUUUAAAUACAUGUAAGAUAUAAAAAACAUGUUAAAAUAAAAUAUAUCACACGAAUACACAUCUAAUACACGACAUGACACAAAAAAUAUAUUUAAUUUAAUCUUAUCAUAUGAGUACAAGUUUAAUAUGUUUAAACAUAUUUUUUACAUUUUUAAUUUAAUAUAAACACUUUUAUAUU
rnacentral:lncRNA from 1 species